rnacentral:rRNA from 1 species
AUUGAGCGCUGGCGGCAUGCCUUACAUAUGCAAGUCGAACGGCAGCACGGGAGCAAUCCUGGUGGCGAGUGGCGAACGGGUGAGUAAAGUAUCGGAACGUGCCCAGUCGUGGGGGAUAACGUAGCGAAAGUUACGCUAAUACCGCAUACGAUCUAUGGAUGAAAGCGGGGGAUCGCAAGACCUCGCGCGAUUGGAGCGGCCGAUAUCAGAUUAGGUAGUUGGUGGGGUAAAGGCUCACCAAGCCGACGAUCUGUAGCUGGUCUGAGAGGACGACCAGCCACACUGGGACUGAGACACGGCCCAGACUCCUACGGGAGUCAGCAGUGGGGAAUUUUGGACAAUGGGCGAAAGCCUGAUCCAGCCAUGCCGCGUGCAGGAUGAAGGCCUUCGGGUUGUAAACUGCUUUUGUACGGAACGAAAAGGUUUGGCCUAAUAAGCUGAGCUCAUGACGGUACCGUAAGAAUAAGCACCGGCUAACUACGUGCCAGCCGCCGCAGUAA